UUUAGUGGGAGGAAUCUCGGCUGGAGUGAUGGAUGGCGUGGACAGCUGCAAUACAGCAUGAAAGGAGUGUGGGCUGGAUGGACUAGUGGACGUGUGUGUGUGUGUGUGUGUGUGUGUGUGUGUGUGUGUGUGUGUGUGUGUGUGUGUGUAGUGUGAAGGCGAGUGUGUGUCUAUACCCAUGUCUCUCCCUGUGCCUACACCUUGAUUCUACUUGAUCAGGUAAGUCCUGUGUCCCCCACCCCCAGCCCACAGGACCAUCCUAAAGUGAAAAACCAAAUUUCUGGGACUUCCCUUCUUGAGCACUGUGCAGUGAGACCCCAGGGCAGUAUCAACAGGAAAAUAAAGAAAUUUGUAUUUAUUCGUAUUCCA
ensembl:scaRNA